UUCCAAACCGAACCACACGUCUUCCUACGAAUCUCUCUCUCUAAAAUAUCUCCACCCAAAUUAUAUAAGUCUUCUCUCUCCCUCUCUCUACAUAUACAUCUACCUAUAUAUAUAUGUAUAUAUCUAUUCACAGUUUGCUCCGAGUUUUGAUUAAAACCCUAUUCCCAAAUCUGCUGUUGAAAGUUACCAUAGACGUAUAUAAACAUGAAUUUAUAAAAUCUGGAAAUCCUAAAAUUGUGAAUUGAAGAUGGGGGAAGAAGUGGGGAUGAGUGAAUACCAAAGCAGCGGUGAUUGUGGCGGUGGCGAAGACCGAGUGUCAGAGUGGGAAUUUGGAUUGCCCAGCGCCGAUGAUCUCACGCCGCUGUCUCAGCCGUUGAUCCCGCCGGAGCUGGCGUCGGCGUUCAGUAUUAUGCCGGAGCCUUGUCGGAGCAUGGGCGACGUGAAUCGAGCGUCGCAGACCACGUUUUCGAGUCUCCGAGGGCAGAGUCAGGGGCUGUCCUCAUCUACCCAUUUCAAUUUCAAGUCGUUCAACGACGAUGGAGUUAGAGACCCCAUGGCUGUGGAAGGAGACGAAACGGAUCUGACGAGGGACGGUUCGGAUUCGAGGAAGUUGCGGAGGAUCGAUAGCGGCACGGAGGAGGUGGAUUCGGCGCUGCGAUCGGAGAAUGGCAACGACGAUACGUCGGCGAGGGCAUUGAAGCGGCCGAGAUUGGUGUGGACGCCUCAAUUGCACAAGCGAUUCGUUGACGUUGUGGCGCAUUUGGGUAUCAAGAACGCUGUGCCCAAGACGAUCAUGCAGUUGAUGAAUGUUGAAGGCUUGACUCGCGAGAACGUAGCCAGUCAUCUGCAGAAGUACAGGUUGUAUCUGAAGAGGAUGCAGGGGUUGUCUAGCGACGGUCCCUCGCCUUCGGAUCACCUUUUUGCUUCGACCCCGGUGCCCCAGAGCUUACAUGAGUCAGGAGGUGGUGGACAUGGACACAAUAAUGGGCAAGUGCUGAUGCCCGUUCCAAUGCCUUUUGUACCGCAGAUGAUCCCUGUGCCAAUGCUCGGGAUGGCCCAUGGUCACGGCCAAAUGGGGAUGUCGGCUGCCCCUGUUCCUUAUCAUGGGUUUGAGUCGAAUUCGUACCAUAUGGUGCAGCACAGAGACUGGUCAGGCAAUAAUUUCAGCCGUCACCAUGUUACACCUAGUGAAAAAUAACAUUAUCACCAAUUAAAGAGGUCUUCCCUUAUGUUCACAUAUUCCCAGUCUUAAUGGGUUUCAUGAUGAUUAGAGGUGCUUGCAAGUUUUAUAAGAAGUUUACAGGUGAAAUAGAUGAAGGGGACAAAAAGAAGAAGGAAUUAUUGAUGUAUAAAAAGAUUCAGCAUAACUGCAUAAUUGGUAAUCCUGGGCCUGCCAGUCAUGGGAGAAGUUCUCAAGAAAUCAGCAGAGAUGCGUUGAGGUGUGCUUAAUUAUGGUUCGGGGGAUUCUAUAUGAAUCAGGCAAAGAAUAAAGGUGAAUUAUUUCCAUUUAUGUCUUUCUGUCGUUACAUUGAACUGGAAGGAGGUGGCUGGUGUAUUUUAUCUUGUCUACCUAGAGGAUUGCAAGUCACUUAGUACAUUCUCAAUCAAUUUUCAAUCAGUGUGUUAAUGACUGUAUUAAACCUUGUUUUUCAGCAAGAAAGAAAAAGUGGAUGCAAGUUGUCAAGCACAUUCUUGACCUGUUCUUUAACAUAAACGUUUUAUUCUGUUCAUUAUUAAUGAAAAUAUUGAAUUUCUUUUCUUUCAGCAACAAAGUGAAAGCCAAUGAGAAAACUGAGCAAAAAUCAGGCAGCACUCCUUGGCUGCUGGGCAUUCCUUGUUGUAAUCUCCCCUUUCGGUAUCCUGUCUUGUAUAAAUAUAUUCCUUUUUCAUAAGCUUGAUGAUAAUUUAUUGCAACUUUGGUUGCAUUUACCACUGAUCCCUUCAAUAUUUGCUUCUUUGUACUCCUUUGUAUGAUGCUGUUUCAUAAUUAUAUCGUUUUGAUAUUUAUUGUCUUA